rnacentral:lncRNA from 7 species
ACUGUACAACACAUCGUGGGCACAAAGCGUCUUCCAGGGAAUACGCAGCACUCAGAAAGGUUCAUUCUUCAGCCUGAACAAAGUGAGGAAGAAAGAUGCCUUGCAACAUCAGCAAACAGGGCACAUUUCCCUCUACAGGAUGGGAGCUGGUCAACUCCAUAUUCCUCAGAAGUUUGAGAUCAGGUUCUUCACGUGCCUAAUUUGGACUUAAUUCAAGGCUGGGAUAAAUCAUUACAACUCAGAUGAAGUCAGUAAGAGCACAGUGACUUACAUCAGCUCUGUGUCAGUAAAUACUGACAAAAUUGAUCUCAAACUUUUUCAGAACAAAAGAUUUUUGAAGAUGGAUUAAACAACAUAAAUGCUGAGCUGUUUUGCUAGACUGCAAAUGGCAUAACACAUGCUUUGUGUGACAUCUCUGAAUUAUUCCUUCGUGGCAAUGUUGACAUUAUAUGGUAUUGACUCAUGGAAGAAGCUUAAAUACCCUUUUAAGUUUUCAAGACUCUUUGACAAAGCACUAUUUCAUUAACAAAAUGUUAAUGGAAUCUGUGAAGCCUGAAUAUACAGCAUAGCCUGCUGGUUUCAAGAAGCUGUAUUCACUGACCUAGAGGAGUGACUGCCAUAGAGCACUACAACCUCUAUUUUUAGAAUGCACCUUGUGCAGGACACCCAUGGGCUGAGUAAGGAGAACGUGAGCUUCCGUUACUUCCCCCAUCAAACAGGAUUAUCACACCUUCUGCUGGAGAAGGUCAAAACAGCACUGACAUGGGAAAUGGAUAAUAUAAGAGAAAGCCUGGGGAUCGAACACCAACCUGUUGUGUUUCAAAGUGCUCGGAUGGACUACCUGGGCAGCUGCCAGACUCUGCUGUGGUGAAGGAGUUUUGUGUGUGGUUAGAAACAUUCACAAAGGAGCAAAGAAGAGGAAUGCUGUUUUUAAUAAAUAGGAAAUGUUUGUACAAACAGGAAGAGCUGUCACUGCUUACACCUAUGCCAUGGAAUUAUACAUUUCCAAAGAGACAAAUCCAAAGAGGAAGAAGAAAUGGAAUUUUGUGGGGCAGUCCAAGAGAGGCAGAUAUCCUUCUGAGAACAAGGAGAGGAAAGCCAGCCUGUGCCUGACCGCUGAGGGAUGCUUCUGCCUGUACCUACAAACUGUGUACCCAGAUGAGGAGCUUAAAAUGUGCCACCGCAUAUUUUGGUUAUUUCUGAAGCACAUAUUUUCCUGCAAAUGCAGUCAUUUUUAAUCAAUAAUUAUGUGAAUAACUGGGGUCUCACAAGGCUGUAAGACAAUAAAACGUGUUUCC